UGAGCCGAAAUGAACUACAACGACAGCCACCCUCAUCUAGUUGGACCUACCGGAUGAGUCUAAAUCAGUCGUUAACCAAGAUUCAAUCUUUGAUACACCUAGAAAACAUAAACUAAGAGAAAAGUUAAAAAAAACAGGAACUUAAUUUAAAAAAAAAAAUAUAAAAAUAAAAUCAAUUUAUUACAGCAAAGAGUUAGACGUCUUUAAAGCAGGAACUUGCCCCUCAGAGGAAUCAUCAAUUACUUAAAAACGCAAGUUUUCAUUUACACAGAUUUAUAUAAUUAAAUAAAUCAAAACACGGCUACAAUAGAUUUAUGUAACAAUUUGAAUCGAAAAAAGGAGUAAAUAUAUUUAAAACUAUAAACAGGUUUUUAUUCCCACAUACCCAUUUUACCUAUAUUAAAUUAAUUGUUUAAUAAAAAUUUUAGGGACUUUUUUUAAAAAGUGUCAAUACUUCACUCACUCACACAUCUUUAAAAAAGUGGCUUCACUUUUCUGUUCUAGGUGCGUUAUCUAUUUUUUUUUU
rnacentral:misc_RNA from 1 species